rnacentral:rRNA from 1 species
UACAGAGGUCCCGAGCGUUGUUCGGAUUCAUUGGGCGUAAAGGGUGCGUAGGCGGCGGGGCAAGUCUGAUGUGAAAUCCUGGGGCUCAACCCUGGAACUGCAUUGGAUACUGCCUUGCUAGGGUACUGGAGAGGAAACUGGAAUUUACGGUGUAGCAGUGAAAUGCGUAGAGAUCGUAAGGAAGACCAGUGGCGAAGGCGAGUUUCUGGACAGUUACUGACGCUGAGGCACGAAGGCCAGGGGAGCAAACGGG